rnacentral:rRNA from 1 species
CCUACGGGAGGCUGCAGUCGAGAAUCAUUCACAAUGGGGGAAACCCUGAUGGUGCGACGCCGCGUGGGUGAAUGAAGGUCUUCGGAUUGUAAACCCCUGUCAUGUGGGAGCAAAUGAAAAAGAUAGUACCACAAGAGGAAGAGACGGCUAACUCUGUACCAGCAGCCGCGGUAAUACAGAGGUCUCAAGCGUUGUUCGGAAUCACUGGGCGUAAAGCGUGCGUAGGCUGUUUCGUAAGUCGUGUGUGAAAGGCGCGGGCUCAACCCGCGGACGGCACAUGAUACUGCGAGACUAGAGUAAGGGAGGGGGAACCGGAAUUCUCGGUGUAGCAGUGAAAUGCGUAGAUAUCGAGAGGAACACUCGUGGCGAAGGCGGGUUCCUGGACAUUAACUGACGCUGAGGCACGAAGGCCAGGGGAGCGAAAGGGAUUAGAUACCCGGGUAGUC